rnacentral:rRNA from 1 species
AGUUUGAUCCUGGCUCAGGAUGAACGCUGGCGGUCUGCUUAACACAUGCAAGUCGAACGGAGUCCUUCGGGAUUUAGUGGCGGACGGGUGAGUAACGCGUGAGAAUCUGCCCUUAGGUUGGGGACAACAGUUGGAAACGACUGCUAAUACCCAAUGUGCCGAGAGGUGAAAGGUUAACUGCCUGGGGAUGAGCUCGCGUCUGAUUAGCUAGUUGGAGUGGUAACGGCACACCAAGGCGACGAUCAGUAGCUGGUCUGAGAGGAUGAUCAGCCACACUGGGACUGAGACACGGCCCAGACUCCUACGGGAGGCAGCAGUGGGGAAUUUUCCGCAAUGGGCGAAAGCCUGACGGAGCAAGACCGCGUGAGGGAGGAAGGCCUAUUGGUUGUAAACCUCUUUUGAUAGGGAAGAACACAAUGACGGUACCUAUCGAAUCAGCAUCGGCUAACUCCGUGCCAGCAGCUGCGGUAAUACGGAGGAUGCAAGCGUUAUCCGGAUUUAUUGGGCGUAAAGCGUCCGUAGGUGGCAAACCAAGUCAGUUGUUAAAGCGUAGAGCUUAACUCUAUAAGGGCAAUUGAAACUGGUUAGCUAGAGUGCGAUAGGGGCAAGGGGAAUUCCCAGUGUAGCGGUGAAAUGCGUAGAUAUUGGGAAGAACAUCGGUGGCGAAGGCGCCUUGCUGGGUCUGUACUGACACUGAGGGACGAAAGCUAGGGGAGCGAAAGGGAUUAGAUACCCCUGUAG